rnacentral:miRNA from 1 species
UAAGGAAUUAGAGAUGUGUUU